rnacentral:rRNA from 1 species
CCUGCCGUUGCCGGCGACCGGCGCACGGGUGAGUAACACGUAUGCAACCUGCCCGUGGCAGGGGGAUAAGCGGGGGAAACCCCGUCUAAUACCGCGUAACGCGGCCUAGGGACAUCCCAAGGCCGCCAAAGGGAGCAAUCCCGGCCACGGAUGGGCAUGCGGCGCAUUAGCUAGUCGGCGGGGUAACGGCCCACCGAGGCGACGAUGCGUAGGGGUUCUGAGAGGAAGGCCCCCCACACUGGUACUGAGACACGGACCAGACUCCUACGGAAGGCAGCAG